rnacentral:rRNA from 1 species
GAUGAACGCUGGCGGCGUGCCUAAUACAUGCAAGUCGAGCGAACGGACGAGAAGCUUGCUGCUCUGAUGUUAGCGGCGGACGGGGGAGUAACACGUGGAUAACCUACCUAUAAGACUGGGAUAACUUCGGGAAACCGGAGCUAAUACCGGAUAAUAUUUUGAACCGCAUGGUUCAAAAGUGAAAGACGGUCUUGCUGUCACUUAUAGAUGGAUCCGCGCUGCAUUAGCUAGUUGGUAAGGUAACGGCUUACCAAGGCAACGAUGCAUAGCCGACCUGAGAGGGUGAUCGGCCACACUGGAAUUGAGACACGGUCCAGACUCCUACGGGAGGCAGCAGUAGGGAAUCUUCCGCAUUGGCCGAAAGCCUGACGGAGCAACGCCGAGUGAGUGAUGAAGGUCUUCGGAUCGUAAAACUCUGCUAUUAGGGAAGAACAUAUGUGUAAGUAACUGUGCACAUCUUGACGGUACCUAAUCAGAAAGCCACGGCUAACUACGUG